rnacentral:lncRNA from 1 species
UCAGCUACCUAGGCAAUGGGCUCCAGUAUAUGGUGAUCUGCCGCUUACUCUCAGGCGCAGAAAGCAAUCAUCUCCAUCUCUUCGAUUUACCCUUAUGGGCCCUAAGCUUUACGUCAACACUUCGCAGGUGAUUCCUCUACUGCACAACAUGAAUACGAUCAGUUCUAUGAUUUAAAUCCAUUUGCAAUGUGAUUAUUUUAGGCAUCUUUCUAGUUUCACUGACCAUUUACCUGCUUUUGGGUUUACAAAUCCUUGCAUUACAGGUUGAUUCUGGAAAUAGGCCAGUGACAGGAAUCCGCUUGUACUUGGAAGGUAAGAGAAG